GUAAUAUGAAAAGCUAUGUGUCUGGAGGAGGGGUGGGGGAUGGGGGAAAGGUAGGGAGAUAGGGGAUGGGCAGGAGAGCUAGAAAAAGUAAGUAGGGAUUGGAACAUGAAGGUCCUUAUGGGUUAUGUUGAUGACACAUUCUAUCCUUAAGAGUAAACAGGAAAAAAAUGGCAAUCGAGGAUUUUCAAUAGGAAUGGCAUGAUCAUAUUUUUGCUCUGAAAAGAUCACCUUGACUACUGAGUAGGGAAUGAAUUAAGAGAAGGAACUGGAGUCAGAGAGACCAGUUGGCAGCAGCUCAGGGCACUGUGUCGAUGAUAAUGGCUCUAGGGAUAGAGAGAUGAGACCUGGUGUAGAAAUGACUUGGUGGCAGUGGUAGGGGAGAUGUCGGGAAAAGCAAGGGUUAAGGAUGACGUUUUGGCUCCUGGGUUGGCAAUUGUGGGAUGGUGGUCCCAUUAAUUGAGAUAUGGGACGGACGAGGAGGCAUGCAGUGGGAGGGAAAUCGAGUUCAGUUUGAAACACACUGAGUUUGAAUUGCUCGUGGGAAGUCCAACGAGGUGUUUAGGAAGCUGUUGGGUAGAUACAAGCCCGAAGGUCAGAUGGGAAACUAGCUGUAUAGACGUGCGUGCGUGCGUGUGUGUGUGCGUGGUGGGGGCAGUGAUGAGAGUCGAUGGGAUCACCAAGAGAUACUAGAAGAGAAGAGGGCCAUGGACAGAACCCCAAGGAAAAUCAACAUUUAAGAAACCGAAAGUGAGAAAGAAAAUUGACUCAAACCUGGUCUGGGACAGAGAUUUUUUGUGUGAUGUAAUUUACAACUCCUUCUGGGAAGCAAUUAGCAUUCCUGAUAAAGUGCCUGAACAGUUUUCUGACAGACUUUAAUAAGACUGAGAACUCCUUCUGGGAAGCUAGGGUUACCCAUCCAGCUGAUUGACUAGCCUAAUAAUCUUUAACCAGAUGUUCGUUUUUUAAAUUCCAUUCUAAACAUGGUUGGUGAACCAUUCUUUUUUUCUUAUAAAACGUCUCAACUAAAAUGACUCCUUCAGUUGAUUCGUUUCAACAAGCUUUUUCUCAUGUACUCAAAAACAAUUUGUUUGAGGCAUCGCUUUAACAAAAGAGAAAGAGGACCCGGCAAGAGAGUGAGAAAAGGCCAGGUAGGAAGGAGAGAAAGCAGAUGGCGGUUGGAGUUAUGGACACCAGGAGAAAGUAGGCGUGCGUGGACGACAGCGUCGCAUGCUAGUGAGAGGUGAAGUAAAACACAGCAGGGUUAGAGAAAAUCUUUUCCAAUUUCGAACCUCCUCAAAUGUCAGCUGUCUCGGACAUUUCCAUCUGGUUAAACUAAAUGAUCUCUCCUGUCCCCCUGUCAGACUUGUUUCUCUUUGCUCUCUUAACUUGUGCUAAAAGUAUAAAAAUCAACAAAAUUAAAACAACCAAAUCAAAAACAAGCAAAAGAAAACAAACAGCAACGACAACAAAACGGAAGAAACCAAGAACACCAGGAAAGAAGAAUGCAGGCGGUCCUGACGCCAGCAGCGAAGCAGCUCAGUUAUCGGCCUCCUAGUCGUGACCCUCCUAGUCGUGACUUACAGUUGAAGGUUGUGAUCACCUAAUUAGCUGUUCAGGACUAGUGACCUCACCGACCGGUCAGACAGGGUGCUCUAGUCCUAAUCUCUUAUCCAUGACCUCUUGGGGUUCAGGCAUAGGCUAAAUGUGGCUCUCAACUGUACUGUUCUUGUAUAGAGUAUGCCCACACAUGUCUCUUUGAACAAGAUCCCCUCCCACCCGCAAAAAUACCAUUCAAAAAAGUUAAUAAAAAGUUAUCCUAUCCAUCAUUUAGUUAUUAAAAUUAUUAUUUUUUAAUUAUUUGACAACCAAAGCCCUCUUUAGAACAAGGUUUGUUUGGGGCAUGAAUUCAAAGUUUCAAACAAAGUACAAAUAAACUUUUGGAACACAACCUAUUUCAUCCAAGAGAGCACUUGUGCAAUAAAAAAUUCUGUCUGUGCAUUGCAAUGUAUACCAACUGGCAAUGUUAUCUGCCAAUAAGAAUUUCUUGCUCAUUUUUCUAAAGGCAUAAGAUAGGACUUCAGUGUAUGCAUCUACCUCACUUCAAAUAUGAACAAUCCUGAAUUUCUCGUCAAGGCCUUAUAAUUCUUUACUUAUAGAAUAGACACAAAGGAAAUGACUAAACAUUUAUAGGUAUAAUCAUAUGGUUUCUAAUCAGGAAUAUGAAUAUAACUAUCCAAAUUUUUAUUCCAUAAGACUGCAUUAUUAUGGAUGAUAAUAAUUAAACUGUGUAUGAAUACAGCAAAAUAUAAGGGACAUAUAGAACUGUAAUUAUCACCAGAACACCGAUCAGGUCAGAAAAUACUAGAAUCUUAAUAUUUCAACUACACUGAUUGUAGCUAUUUUCUUGAAUGUCCUUUCAUUUCUGAUAAUUGUGAAUUAACACAACCAUUCUCGAGACUGGGAAAUGGUGAUCCUCAGUGAUUUUGUAAGGCAAGACAGUAAGUGACAGAGUGGAAUCAGAAACUUGUUUUCCUGAUUGUCGGCCUAGUACUUCUUAUUCUAGAGCUGCCAAAAGGCGAACCAUGUUGUUGCCUUUCCCAUUUUAGAAACAGGUUAUAUCAACGUUUCCUCUGUGGUCUGAUGGCAAAAGGUCCCUAUUUAAAAAAUGUCAACAGUUGAUCAUUAAAAACAAAUGUCUUCUUACAUGUUUUUUGACAAUUCAAGUUGUCUUCCAGUUCUUCAAACAACCACUUUCUCAAUUUGGUAAGAAUAAUCAGAAUUAGAUGUUGAAUUCGAUCUUAUCUAUCAUCUCAGUGGGGAAACCAAGGCCCAAAGAGAUUUAUCCAGGGUUUUAGUGUGAGUUGAUGGGAGUCUCCUGACUUCUAGUCGAGGGCUAUUUACAGCACGUGGCAAGCACUACCUCAGACACCAGUGUUAUGAAAAGUUGGUGUGAGGUGUUCCCGGGACCAUAAGUCCUAAUCAGCGUGUCACUGAGUGGCAAAUGCGAUUGAAAAAAUUGGGGUGGGGGGAGAAUAAGUGAAAGAACUCUGGCUGGAAUGUAGCAGUUGCAAUUUUCCAUGAAUAGAAGACCAAAAAGGGAUAUGACGCAGAUGGCCGAGGGAAUCGGUAACCUCCUAUUGCGAGGGUUUCUGCUGGGAACUUUAAUGAGGUUAUCUAAUUCCUCUUAACAACCCUUUAGGUAGGUAGGGGCUGUUAACCUCAUUUUAUUACUCAUGAAAUUGAGGCUCAGCAUCUGUAAUUUACCCCACAGUCACACAAGUUGAUAAUUGGUAGAGCCAGGUCCGAAGCAGAGUCUGUCUGGCUAUGAACCUGUGUACUUUUACUCCUGUAGUAGAGUAUGUGUAAGGCGAACCAUUGAAAAUAAUAACUGCAGUGCAAUACCAAUAAAGGUAAUAAUGAUA